GAUGAACGCUGGCGGCGUGCCUAAUACAUGCAAGUCGAGCGAACAGACGAGGAGCUUGCUCCUCUGACGUUAGCGGCGGACGGGUGAGUAACACGUGGAUAACCUACCUAUAAGACUGGGAUAACUUCGGGAAACCGGAGCUAAUACCGGAUAAUAUAUUGAACCGCAUGGUUCAAUAGUGAAAGACGGUUUUGCUGUCACUUAUAGAUGGAUCCGCGCCUCAUUAGCUAGUUGGUAAGGUAACGGCUUACCAAGGCAACGAUGCGUAGCCGAACUGAGAGGGUGAUCGGCCACACUGGAACUGAGACACGGUCCAGACUCCUACGGGAGGCAGCAGUAGGGAAUCUUCCGCAAAGGGCGGAAGCCUGACGGAGCAACGCCGCGUGAGUGAUGAAGGUCUUCGGAUCGUAAAACUCUGUUAUUAGGGAAGAACAAAUGUGUAAGUAACUAUGCACGUCUUGACGGUACCUAAUCAGAAAGCCACGGCUAACUACGUG
rnacentral:rRNA from 1 species